rfam:Myotis lucifugus cont2.56129, whole genome shotgun sequence.
GGCGGUUCUCAGGUGACGCACCCUGGAAUUGGGCUCCCUCCUCUCUGGUUCUGGGUGUGUCACCGGAGAACAGCA